AGAGAGAGAGAGAGAGAGAGAACGUGUUGCAUGCCUUCUCAACAGUUGGCAUCAGGUAGGGUAGAGGUUGUGAAAGGGGGUAUCCACUGUCUCCACCCAAUCUCUUCUCCCCCAGUUAUUUUCUGGGACACUGCACAGUACAACUUUAUUUGAUGGCAGAACAUUCAGAGGCUGUAAGCUUGACACAUGGCAAAAUGCUUCUGCUGUUUCUGAGUCUCGGUUUGCUCACUUCUAAUGUCCAGUCAGAAAAACAAGGGGUUAAUGUAACGUGUGAAAAUCAAUCGCUUGUAGCAGGACAGAACCACAACCUGACAUGUAGAGUGGAUUACAGUGAUGCAUAUCAGAAUAAGAAGGGUGAUGUAGGUAACAGUGAGACGGGAUGUAAAACUGAACAGUAUUUCUGGAAGGAUAAAUCAAAAUCUCCAAUACGAAAUUGUGAUUGUACAAAAGAUUGUAACACUACGAUAACAACCAACACCUACUUUUGUGAGAUCAAAUAUGUUACCAAAGCUGAUGAGGGAAACUACACUUUUACCAUUAACACAGACUGUGGCAACGGACAUGGCACAUUGAAUGUUUCCGUUACAUUGAGAAAUGAAAAACAAGCGUUUCUGGGAUCGUCAGGUCACCUAUCGUCAGUAUCAUCACUGUUCUGGGUUUUCUACUGUUUCUCAUCUUAAGACUUAAUAAUUCCUUGAGAAACAAUGGCAAAACUACCAGAGAGGCCCUAAACCAGAAGCCUGCAUAACUUUCAGUCUGGAAGAGUUUGUGUGUGUGUGUGUGCGUGUGUGCGUGCGUGCGUGCGUGCGUGCGUGCGUGCGUGCGUGCGUGUGUGUGUGUGUAUGUGUGUGUGUUGGUUCUACUAUCCUUGUGGGGACAGAAAUAUCUCAUUUACAUAAGUAGUCAAACUCCUAAGUCAAUAAAUACUUUGUGGAAGCUCCUUUUGCAUUCAUUACAGCUGUGAGUCUGUCUGGGUACGUCUCUAAGUCAAUACUUUGUGAAAGCUCCUUCUGCAUUGAUUACCGCUGUGAGUCUGUCUGGGUACGUCUCUAAGAGCUUUCCACAUUUGGAUUGUUCAAAAUGUUCCCAUUAUUCUUUUCUAAAUUCUUCAAGCUCUGUCAAAUUGGCUGUUGAUCAUAGCUAGAGAACCAUUUUCAGAUCUUGCCAUAGAUUGACUGUCUUCUUGGCAACUCUAGUGUAGAUUUGGCCAUGGUUUAUUGUCCAGUUGAAAGGUGAAUUCAUCGCCCAGCGUCUAGUGUAUUGGAUUUGCCUAAAAAAUAACACUUUGUAUUCAGGACAAAAACUGAAUUACUUUGCCAUGUUUUUUGCAGUGCUACUAUAGUGCCUUGUUUCAAACAUGAUGCAUGUUUUGGAAUAUUUUUAUUCUGUACAGGCUUCCUUUUCACUCUGUCAAUUAUUAUUAUUUAUUUACCUUUAUUUAACUAGACAGGUCAGUUAUGAACAAAUUCUUAUUUACAAUGACAGUCUACCGGGGAACACUGGGUUAAAUGCCUUGUUCAGGUGCAGAACAACAGGUUUUUACCUUGUCAGCUCAGGGAUUCAAUCCAGGAACUUAUUGGUUAAUGGCACAACACUCUAACCACUAGGCAACCUGCCGCCCCAUCAAACUAAUCAAGGUUAGUAUUGUGGAGUAACUACAAUGUGUUUGAUCCAUCCUCAGUGUUCUCCUAUCACAGCCAUUAAACUCUGUAACUGUUUUAAAGUCA